rnacentral:sRNA from 1 species
GCUGGGUGUGGUGGCACAUGCCUGUAAUCCCAGCAGCCCAGGAGGCUGAGGCAGGAGGAUCACAAGUUCAAAGCCCACCUCAGCAAUGCCAAGGUACUUAUAGCAACUCAGUGAGACCCUGUCUCUA